rnacentral:rRNA from 1 species
UACGGGGGGAGCAAGCGUUGUUCGGAUUUACUGGGCGUAAAGGGCGCGUAGGCGGCCACUGCAAGUCGGUUGUGAAAUCUCCGGGCUUAACCCAGAAAGGUCAACCGAUACUGCAGGGCUAGAGUGCAGAAGGGGCAACUGGAAUUCUCGGUGUAGCGGUGAAAUGCGUAGAUAUCGAGAGGAACACCUGCGGCGAAGGCGGGUUGCUGGGCUGACACUGACGCUGAAGCGCGAAAGCUAGGGGAGCGAACGGG